rnacentral:rRNA from 1 species
GGCGCAAGGGUGAGUAACACGUAGGCAAUCUGCCCAGAGGACGGGAAUAACUUCGAGAAAUCGAGGCUAAUGCCCGAUGAUUUUCCGAUAUAGCAUUAUAUUGGAAUUAAAUACCGUAAGGUGCCUUUGGAUGAACCUGCGUCCCAUUAGGUAGUUGGUGAGGUAAUGGCUCACCAAGCCGACGAUGGGUAGCUGGUCUGAGAGGACGAUCAGCCACACUGGAACUGAGACACGGUCCAGACUCCUACGGGAGGCAGCAGUGAGGAAUAUUGCGCAAUGCCCGAAAGGGUGACGCAGCGACGCCGCGUGGAGGAUGAAGGCCCUACGGGUCGUAAACUCCUUUUGUGAGGGAAUAAUUUCUCGCUACAGGCGAGAUUGAAUGUACCUCAAGAAAAAGCAUCGGCUAACUACGUGCCAGCAGCCGCGGUAAUACGUAGGAUGCUAGCGUUGUCCGGAUUUACUGGGUGUAAAGGGAGCGCAGGCGGGUUGGUAAGUCGGUGGUGAAAUUCUUA